CUACACAUGCAGUCGAGCGGAUGACGGGAGCUUGCUCCUUGAUUCAGCGGCGGACGGGUGAGUAAUGCCUAGGAAUCUGCCUGGUAGUGGGGGACAACGUUUCGAAAGGAACGCUAAUACCGCAUACGUCCUACGGGAGAAAGCAGGGGACCUUCGGGCCUUGCGCUAUCAGAUGAGCCUAGGUCGGAUUAGCUAGUUGGUGGGGUAAUGGCUCACCAAGGCGACGAUCCGUAACUGGUCUGAGAGGAUGAUCAGUCACACUGGAACUGAGACACGGUCCAGACUCCUACGGGAGGCAGCAGUGGGGAAUAUUGGACAAUGGGCGAAAGCCUGAUCCAGCCAUGCCGCGUGUGUGAAGAAGGUCUUCGGAUUGUAAAGCACUUUAAGUUGGGAGGAAGGGCAGUAAGUUAAUACCUUGCUGUUUUGACGUUACCGACAGAAUAAGCACCGGCUAACUCUGUGCCAGCAGCCGCGGUAAUACAGAGGGUGCAAGCGUUAAUCGGAAUUACUGGGCGUAAAGCGCGCGUAGGUGGUUUGUUAAGUUGGAUGUGAAAGCCCCGGGCUCAACC
rnacentral:rRNA from 1 species